AAUGCAAGUGAUGAUAAAACAGACAGGGACAUCUGCACUCUAAUUGAGUAUGAUGAUUUGUCGAUGGGAAUCUCUCUGAUGCAUU
rnacentral:snoRNA from 1 species